UACGUAGGGGGCAAGCGUUGUCCGGAUUUAUUGGGCGUAAAGAGCGCGUAGGCGGCCAUACAGGUCCGUUGUGAAGACUCGAGGCUCAACCUCGAGACGUCGAUGGAAACCGUAUGGCUAGAGUCCGGAAGAGGAGAGUGGAAUUCCUGGUGUAGCGGUGAAAUGCGCAGAUAUCAGGAAGAACACCCGUGGCGAAGGCGGCUCUCUGGGACGGUACUGACGCUGAGACGCGAAAGCGUGGGGAGCGAACAGG
rnacentral:rRNA from 1 species